rnacentral:rRNA from 1 species
CCUACGGGAGGCAGCAGGGAGGAAUAUUGGGCAAUGGACGAGAGUCUGAACCAGCCAAGCAGCGUGAAGGAUGACUGCCCUAUGGGUUGUAAACUUCUUUUAUAUGGGAAUAAAAUGUUCCACGUGAGGGAUUUUGUAUGUACCAUAUGAAUAAGGAUCGGCUAACUCCGUGCCAGCAGCCGCGGUAAUACGGAGGAUCCGAGCGUUAACCGGAUUUAUUGGGUUUAAAGGGAGCGUAGGUGGAUUGUUAAGUCAGUUGUGAAAGUUUGCGGCUCAACCGUAAAAUUGCAGUUUAAACUGGCGUUCUUGAGUACAGUAGUGGUGGGCGGAAGUCGUGGUGUAGCGGUGAAAGGCUUAGAU